CAAACAAGCGGUUUAUGGAAGUGUUAUAAAACUCACAAUAAACCUUAUCUAUGUUUUUAGAUUAUCUUAUCGGAAAUUACAGGUUGUACUUAAUACCUGUAAUUUGUAAUAUUUUUGCAAUAACUGUAUUUAAUUUAUGCUCAAGUUGACUACAACUGAAAAAACCGUAUUCGGUACAAAAAACACUUCUGAAAUCGUGAUAACAAAAUGUCAAACUUUUUCUCAAACUUGUUUAGUGGCACUAAAAGUAAGAGCAAAAAAGAGAAAAGCAAGGAAACGAAUCACGACAAUCACCUGACAGAGGACGGCCAAGAAGCAGAAAAUUUACCAGUGCUCAACAGAAGGUUGUCCCUAUCUAAGAGUGGAAGAAUGAAGGAGAAGAAGCGGUCCAAUAUAUCGGUAAUGCAGACUAAUCUAGACGGAAGUUGUAAGGAGACGAAUAACCGAAAACCAUCUCUGGUAAAUAAUGAGGUGUUUGAUAUCGAAGGCAUCGAACGUGCAGAAAAAGAGGCGAGCCAUCAACAACUCCAUUAAUGUGUCAUAUUUUACAAGGACCAAGUAUUGUGCCCUGUGAAACUGAGACUAAAGAUAUGAUUUAAAAGUGUGAUAUGGGAAAAGUGUAUAUUAUUUUGCCUGGUGAUGUUCGACUGGUUAUACUUCGUUUUAUAUGACGUAGCGGUUAAGAUUGUUUUUGCUGUAAUGAUCCAUACGCUCAAGCUGU